CCUAUGGGCGGCUGCAGUGGGGAAUAUUGGACAAUGGGCGAAAGCCUGAUCCAGCCAUGCCGCGUGUGUGAAGAAGGCCUUCGGGUUGUAAAGCACUUUCAGUGGGGAAGAAAGCCUUGGGGCUAAUACCCUCGAGGAAGGACAUCACCCACAGAAGAAGCACCGGCUAACUCCGUGCCAGCAGCCGCGGUAAUACGGAGGGUGCGAGCGUUAAUCGGAAUUACUGGGCGUAAAGCGCGCGUAGGCGGUCUGAUAAGCCGGUUGUGAAAGCCCCGGGCUCAACCUGGGAACGGCAUCCGGAACUGUCAGGCUAGAGUGCAGGAGAGGAAGGUAGAAUUCCCGGUGUAGCGGUGAAAUGCGUAGAGAUCGGGAGGAAUACCAGUGGCGAAGGCGGCCUUCUGGACUGACACUGACGCUGAGGUGCGAAAGCGUGGGUAGCAAACAGGAUUAGAUCCCCUAGUAGUC
rnacentral:rRNA from 1 species